rnacentral:rRNA from 1 species
GAUGAACGCUGGCGGCGUGCUUAACACAUGCAAGUCGAACGAUGAACCGGGUGCUUGCACUCGGGGAUUAGUGGCGAACGGGUGAGUGACACGUGAGCAACCUGCCCCUGACUCUGGGAUAAGCGCUGGAAACGGCGUCUAAUACUGGAUAUGUCCCGUCACCGCAUGGUGUGCGGGUGGAAAGAUUUUUCGGGUGGGGAUGGGCUCGCGGCCUAUCAGCUUGUUGGUGAGGUAAUGGCUCACCAAGGCGUCGACGGGUAGCCGGCCUGAGAGGGUGACCGGCCACACUGGGACUGAGACACGGGCCAGACUCCUAGGGGAGGCAGCAGUGGGGAAUAUUGCAAGAUGGGCGGAAGCCUGAUGCAGCAACGCCGCGUGAGGGAUGACGGGCUUCGGGUUGUAAACCUCUUUUAGCAGGGAAGAAGCGAGAGUGACGGUACCUGCAGAAAAAGCACCGGCUAACUACGUGCCAGCCGCCGCGGUAA